UACGUAGGGCGCAAGCGUUAUCCGGAAUUAUUGGGCGUAAAGAGCUCGUAGGCGGUUUGUCGCGUCUGCCGUGAAAGUCCGGGGCUCAACUCCGGAUCUGCGGUGGGUACGGGCAGACUAGAGUGAUGUAGGGGAGACUGGAAUUCCUGGUGUAGCGGUGAAAUGCGCAGAUAUCAGGAGGAACACCGGUGGCGAAGGCGGGUCUCUGGGCCAUAACUGACGCUGAGGAGCGAAAGCGUGGGGAGCGAACAGG
rnacentral:rRNA from 1 species